rnacentral:lncRNA from 1 species
CGCUUUAAUGCAUUUUUAUAUAAAUAAAAUUUAUUAUUCCGUAUAUACCCUUAUACUAUUUUCAGUACAUUUUUAAACACUACAUUCAUUUAUUCAACUUUAAUUCUUUCGCAACUCACUUUGUAUGGCAAUGCCUAUCAAUAAUUUUAAUAAAAAUAAGUUAAAUAUAUCGCUACUUGUCUUUCUUGUGACGAUUUAUCUUUAAAAUUUUGCUUAUGCUUACUGCUUUCUCCUUAUACCAUCCGACCAUAAUGUGCAUGAUUCUCUCGCACAAACAUGCCAUACGAAAAAGGAGAAAUGCAUGUAUUGUUAAUAAUAAGUUUUCAUCAAGAUGGAAUAAUGUCUGCAAUAGAAUUACAAUGUGUACCAGAAUGUGGAACUGCCCGAAUCGUUCAGUCCCAGCCUGAAGAGUUUGCUGGAAGGUUUGCUUCAGAGAGAUAUCAACAAGCGAUUAGGAUGCAAGGGGCGGGGAGCUGACGAAGUGAAGGAGCACGUGUUCUUCGCCGGUAUCGACUGGCAACAAGUAUACCACCAGAAAUACACCCCGCCAUUGAUACCACCACGCGGGGAGGUUAACGCAGCCGAUGCUUUCGAUAUUGGCAGUUUUGAUGAGGAAGACACCAAGGGUAUCAAGUUAACUGAAUCAGAUCAGAUGCAGUACAAAGAUUUUCCAUUGGUAAUAUCGGAACGCUGGCAAGCCGAGGUAGCGGAGACUGUGUUCGACACCAUCAAUCAGGAAGCUGACAAAAUGGAACAGAAGAAAAAAGCCAAGCAAAAGCAGAAGUUCGAUGCUGAUGAAAAAGGUAUAAAAAUUACAGUCGUGUAUUAGUAUUUUUUUGCUAAUACACGAUUGUAAAAUUAUACGGGGUAACCAGAAGAAUAA